UCCCAGUUAAUCUGGGCAGUCUGAACAGAGUCCCCGGCAUUACCCGCUGGCAACAGUUCAUAGGGGUUGCGCUCGUUACGGGACUUAACCCAACAUCUCACGACACGAGCUGACGACAGCCAUGCAGCACCUGUGAUAGUCCACCCGAAGUGACGACAAGCUUUCACAAGUCUACGACUACCAUGUCAAGCCCAGGUAAGGUUCUUCGCGUUGCAUCGAAUUAAGCCACAUGCUCCACCGCUUGUGCGGGUCCCCGUCAAUUUCUUUGAGUUUUAAUCUUGCGACCGUACUCCCCAGGCGGCACGCUUAACGCGUUAGCUCCGGCACAGAAAGGGUCGAACCUUCCCACACCAAGCGUGCACCGUUUACUGUCAGGACUA
rnacentral:misc_RNA from 1 species